rnacentral:lncRNA from 1 species
CCUCCGACCCGUUCCCCUCAGACCCCUCUGGGACCCCCCCUCUCUCCCCGUCCCCUCAGCUCGGGGGGUUCCGCCGCUGUCACGCACUUCCUCACCCCCUCGGAGCCGCCUCUCCUCCUCAGCGGGGCCCGGGCCGGACUGGGGCCGUGGGGGGAGGGGAGGCGGCUCCCUCAGGUGGCCACUGACAGGAGGCGGGCGGGGGAGGGGGCUGCGCGCGCAGGGGACCGCCUCGCGCCGGGCUCCCUCCCGCCCUCUCCCCCCCCCGUUCGCCAUUUCCCCCCCCCCAAGGAGGAGCGGGACUCCCGGGGUGGCGCGCGCGCCACCAACCGUCACCUCCUCGGGACGCCUUUCCCGCCCACUCCGGUUGCUAGGCAGAUUUGGACAAACUUGAAGUUUCGCCCCGCCCACUGUUCCUUUCGCCCCGCCCCCCUCCGGCCCAGGGGCGGAGUGUUGGUUUUGGUGGUUUUUUUUUUUGCAAGAGAAGAUUGACGGCUGCGCUGCCCAAUGAGAAGUCGCGGUGGUCGAUCCCUCCAGCCAAUCGUGGCCGCAGCCCGCCUUCGGCCAGCCCCACGAUGCGAAUCGGCGAGGAAUGAGGCGGGGCGAUUUUAUGAUCGAAAGGCAUCCUAACCAAUAGGCUUCAAGCGACGCCGCGCGGGCCGGUUGGGUUGAAGGCUUCGCGAAGCGAGCAGCUGUUGGAAGAAAACCCGGUCGGUGCGAUGUGAGGGGCUGGAAGAGCGGCUUUGGAAAGGGACCGAAUGGCAAAAGGUCCGGAAUGUUGCUUCAAGGUUUCACUGCAGAUGGAUCAGCUCUAAAUUUCAGCUUCCAGCAGUCCCUGCAAUUUCCUGGCCACAUCAGCCUUCAGCAGCGCGCAGAGGAGUUACUGUAUGUACAGCUUCAGAAAGGAGCACUGGCAGAAGGCAGCCUCAGCCACCCUCAAUCAGUCCCCACUGCUCUGGUGAGAAAAUGCUGCAUCCCAAAGGAUUGGGAUCGCUCUGUGGGGUUGGAGGUCAGCGACACAGAGGAGGAAAACAACCAAACCCUUUCUAUUGUAGUUUGACUUUCUGGCAAACGGGGAAAGCUGAAUAAAAUCAAAGCAGUGAAGCA